GUGGGGAAUAUUGGACAAUGGGCGAAAGCCUGAUCCAGCCAUGCGGCGUGUGUGAAGAAGGUCUUCGGAUUGUAAAGCACUUUAAGUUGGGAGGAAGGGCAGUAAGUUAAUACCUUGCUGUUUUGACGUUACCGACAGAAUAAGCACCGGCUAACUUCGUGCCAGCAGCCGCGGUAAUACGAAGGGUGCAAGCGUUAAUCGGAAUUACUGGGCGUAAAGCGCGCGUAGGUGGUUUUGUAAGUUGGAGGUGAAAUCCCCGGACUCACCCUGGGAACUGCCUACAAAACUGCAUGACUAGAGUACGGUAGAGGGUAGUGGAAUGUCCUGUGUAGCGGUGAAAUGCGUAGAUAUAGGAAGGAACACCAGUGGCGAAGGCGACUACCUGGACUGAUACUGACACUGAGGUGCGAAAGCGUGGGGAGCAAACAGGAUUAGAAACCCGGGUAGUCC
rnacentral:rRNA from 1 species